rnacentral:rRNA from 1 species
GACAGAGGGUGCAAACGUUGUUCGGAAUUACUGGGCGUAAAGCGUGUGUAGGCGGCUACAUAAGUCGGAUGUGAAAGCCCCGGGCUCAACCCGGGAAGUGCACUCGAUACUGCGUAGCUUGAGUCUCGGAGAGGUUGGUGGAAUUCCCAGUGUAGCGGUGAAAUGCGUAGAUAUUGGGAGGAACACCAGUGGCGAAGGCGGCUCACUGGACCGGAACUGACGCUGAGGCGCGAAAGCGUGGGGAGCAAACAGG